GCCAAACCAGAUGGGGGACGUUGAUGAUGGGUUCCUGGCCGAGACCACACAAGGGGCCUGAAGGCGAGACACCCACCGAUGGGGGGCGCCACCAGCUGGACGGCCGCACAGAACUUCUGAACCAACUCCUGACUUGCCUGGCUAGCCGGUUCACCUCUUGUAAGAUUGAACAGUGACAGGAAGGAUCGCUACUCGGGAGUUAAUUCAAACCAGGAAGGAGGAGCUGCUGGUGAGAGAGCGGAUGGGGACUUGGGAGUUUCAGAGUGCCUUGGUAUCCCUGUGUGGUUCCUGCCACCUGUCAGCAUCUCUGCACGUGUCGUCUGCAUUGAAGUCUGUUCAUCAGCCUCUCCGGGGGUGAAGGUUAUCUCCUGGCACCUGACAGAUACCAGGGAGGGCAUAAACAGCUGGCCUUCUGGAGAUGACAAUCCAUUCCUCCACUGCUUGAAGGAGAAGAGAAGGAGCUGGGAUAGGCACAGCACCCACUACCUAUGGGGAAUGUUCUCAGUGCUGGUGUCCUUCAGCCCUUUCCCUACUCCACCAUUGUAGCUGUAUCCCGAGGCUAGAAGGAUGCCUGGCACAUAGUAGGUGCUCACAAAAUCAUUACUGGAUGUGCUGAUGAAGGUACAGGUACAGUCAGUGAACUGCAAAUGUGGGAUUGGAAUCUGAGACUCAGAAGGCAAGUUUUAAGUCUUCCACAUUGUCAUCACUCUGCUUGCCCCCAAACUGAUACCUAGACACGUACAUUUAUUGAGCCUCGACCGUGCGUCCAUCUCUGUUGUUGGUGUGUUUGUGAGCAACCGUGAUAAUGUUCUUUAUGUUCCUCUAGAACUUAAAUCAUUUUUCCUAAAAUAUUUUAAUGUUGAAUUUCUUUUAUAUAAUGGAUUUUAAUGUGGUUAUGCCUGCUGUGCAUGUCGGGUGGAGUUUUUACCCCUGUGUCCCCUUAAAGGUAACCCCCUGCCUGUACCCAUGUGUCUCAGAUCUCAUGGGGACACUUGCUACCUCUUGUGCCGUGAUGGCAGCCACUGCCCUGACCUACAACUUGAGGCACAGCUCAGGGCUGCCCAGCUCAUUUUCCUUAAAUGUCCAUAAGGGGGGGAGGACCCUGUCUAUGUAGUGGACGUAUAAUGGGUAUUCAAUAAACCAUGUUCAAGAGAGAUUUAAUAACCUAUAUUAUUGAACGAUCACAGCAACAUUAUGCAUUAUUAUCAUGCCCAUUUUGUAGAUGGGGCAACUGAGGCCCAGUGAGUAAACCAGAAGCCAGCUGAUUUCCUGAGCCCCUCUUCAACCUCCAGCAUAGACUCUCUACAUGUUUCGAAAAUUUCGGUGUAAGAUGUGAACAAAGGAUCCCAGCAACUGCUUUCCACUCCAAUGUGGCAUUGGAACCACCUUCCAAUGUAGCUAGCUGGCAGCAACUUUUGCUACGAGAGGCUCUCAACUAUAGAAAAAAAAAUGCAACUUGACAAUGCAUUUGUAGACACAGGGGCUCCUCACCCUUGCACGCUGGCCGGACAUAGGGGGAGGGGCAGCUCUGGGAAUGGGAAGUGGCCACCUUCGACUUGAUGACUUUGCUGGAACAUACUGCAGGAUGCGUUUCCUGUCACAUGGCCCCUUCAGCUGUGAAAAGGUGCUGCCCACCUCUUGAGUUCAGAUGUGGGAGACUGGUUUCCGUUUCCUCAGACCACCUGGGCAGAAUCGCACUGAGCCGGAAGUUCAGGGGCCGAUGGCUGAACAGAGUGCUAAAUUCUCGUCUCUGUCACAAAAGUAUGUGUCUCCAUCACCACCCUGGUCUUUGAGGAAGGAGGAAACUUAAAACCACCAAACCUCUUUGCAGAGGGCUUUAAGGAGAUCCAAUAAAUUAAAGUCAGAACCUAUCAGUUGAGUGAAUUAGGGUAUAAUUCCUCACAUUCCAGUGUAGCCGGUCUAAUCUCAGAAUUCCUUUAAAUGACGAAGUUUACCACUCCCCCUUUUCCCACCCUCCA